rnacentral:rRNA from 1 species
UACGAAGGGUGCAAGCGUUACUCGGAAUUACUGGGCGUAAAGCGUGCGUAGGUGGUUCGUUAAGUCUGCCGUGAAAGCCCCGGGCUCAACCCGGGAAGUGCAUUCGAUACUCCCAAGCUAGAGUAUCGGAGAGGUUGGUGGAAUUCUCGGUGUAGAGGUGAAAUUCGUAGAUAUCGAGAGGAACACCGGUGGCGAAGGCGGCCAACUGGACGAAUACUGACGCUGAGGUGCGAAAGCGUGGGGAGCAAACAGG